rnacentral:rRNA from 1 species
AAGUCGUAACAAGGUUUCCGGAGGUGAACCUGCGGAAGGAUCAUUAUUGAAUGAACUUGCUGUCNNUGUUGCUGGCCCUUUCGCCGGCAUGUGCACACCCAUCAUCCUCAUCUCUCCCCCUGUGCCCCUCUUGGAGACUUGGAUUGACUUUCCGAGGCAACUCGAUCGGGAGGACUUGCUGGCAUUAGCUGGCUGUCCUUGCAUUUCCAAGUCUAUGUUUUUCAUAUACCCAUUGAAUGUCACAUAAUGUAACAUAUUGUUCCUUUGUGCCUAUAANAACUUAUACAACUUUCAGCAACGGAUCUCUUGGCUCUCGCAUCGAUGAAGAACGCAGCGAAAUGCGAUAAGUAAUGUGAAUUGCAGAAUUCAGUGAAUCAUCGAAUCUUUGAACGCACCUUGCGCUCCUUGGUAUUCCGAGGAGCAUGCCUGUCUGAGUGGCAUUAAAUUCUCAACUAUUAUCAGCUUUUGCUGAUAAUGGCAUGGAUAUGGGGGAUUAUUUUGCUGGAUUCUUCAAAGAUUGUCAGCUCCCCUUAAAUGCGUUAGCNNGUNACCCCGCGGGGACUGUCUAUUGNCGUGANAAUUAUCUACGCNCGNGGACAUCUNCAANCAUAUGNNUGUGCACUGCNUNCCACANCGAUCCGUGUANUNCNGACAAUACAUGACAAUUUGGACUCAAUUCAGCGUAGGACUACCCGGUGGAACUUAAGCAUAUCACUAAGCGGAGGAAAAGAAACUCACACGGAUUCCUCUAGUAACUGCGAGUGGAGCGGCGAAANGCUCAAAUUUAAAAUCGGGCGGUCUCCGGCCGUACGAGUUGUAGUCUAGAGAAGUGUUAUACGCGCUGGUCCGUGUACAAGUCUCCUGGAAUGGAGCGUCAUAGAGGGUGCGAGUCCUGUCUUUGACACGGUCUUACAGGGCUGUGUGAUGUGCUCUCAAAGAGUCGAGUUAUUGAGGAAUGCAGCUCAAAAUGGGUGGUAAAUUCCAUCUAAAGCUAAAUACUGGCGAGAGGCCGAUAGCGAACAAGUACCGUGAGGGAAAGAUGAAAAGAUCUUUGGAAAGAGACUUAAUCAGUUCGUGAAAUUGCUGAAAGGGAAACGCUUGAAGUCAGUCGCGUUGGCCGGGGAUCAACCUUGCUUUUGCUGGGCGUACUUUCCGGUUGACGGGUCAGCAUCAAUUUUGCUCGUUGGAUAAAGUCUAGGGGAAUGUGGCAUCUUCGGAUGUGUGAUAGCCCUAGGUAGCAUACAUCGGUCGGGAUUGAGGACCUCAGCCCGCCGCAAGUCCGGGUACGUGUACCGCGUUCGUGCUUAGGAUGCUGGCAUAAUGGCUUUAAUCGACC